rnacentral:misc_RNA from 1 species
AAGUCGUAACAAGGUUUCCGUAGGUGAACCUGCGGAAGGAUCAUCAACAAGAUUGGUAGGAUAUAGACCGAGUCUAUAUCGAUGACUACCGAUAUUUUUAACAUUUUCAAACCGGCUCUAUUGACGGAGAGAUAUUUUCGACCGAGGAAUGACAACCGAUGUUGGUUGCCGGAUCCAGUGGUCUGUGAACUUUUUAAACUUUUUGAUUGAAUUGCCUUGAUGUCUGAUAGUCGGACUGGCAUGGAACAGGAUUAAUAGACCGGAUUCAAGGUGUGAUACCUUUUCGGUGAAAAAAAAAGAAUGAAAAAAACUUUCGGCAAUGGAUCUCUCGGCUCUCC